rnacentral:rRNA from 1 species
UGCGUUCUGAACUGGGUGACUCGAGUGUGUCAGAGGGAGGUGGAAUUCCACGUGUAGCAGUGAAAUGCGUAGAGAUGUGGAGGAAUACCGAUGGCGAAGGCAGCCUCCUGGGAUAACACUGACGUUCAUGUCCGAAAGCGUGGGUAGCAAACAGGAUUAGAUACCCUGGUAGUCCACGCCCUAAACGAUGUCAAUUAGCUGUUGGGCAACUUGAUUGCUUGGUAGCGUAGCUAACGCGUGAAAUUGACCGCCUGGGGAGUACGGUCGCAAGAUUAAAACUCAAAGGAAUUGACGGGGACCCGCACAAGCGGUGGAUGAUGUGGAUUAAUUCGAUGCAACGCGAAGAACCUUACCUGGUUUUGACAUGUGCGGAAUCCUCCGGAGACGGAGGAGUGCCUUCGGGAGCCGUAACACAGGUGCUGCAUGGCUGUCGUCAGCUCGUGUCGUGAGAUGUUGGGUUAAGUCCCGCAACGAGCGCAACCCUUGUCAUUAGUUGCCAUCAUUCGGUUGGGCACUCUAAUGAGACUGCCGGUGACAAGCCGGAGGAAGGUGGGGAUGACGUCAAGUCCUCAUGGCCCUUAUGACCAGGGCUUCACACGUCAUACAAUGGUCGGUACAGAGGGUAGCCAAGCCGCGAGGCGGAGCCAAUCUCACAAAACCGAUCGUAGUCCGGAUUGCACUCUGCAACUCGAGUGCAUGAAGUCGGAAUCGCUAGUAAUCGCAGGUCAGCAUACUGCGGUGAAUACGUUCCCGGGUCUUGUACACACCGCCCGUCACACCAUGGGAGUGGGGGAUACCAGAAGUAGGUAGGGUAACCGCAAGGAGCCCGCUUACCACGGUAUGCUUCAUGACUGGGGUGAAGUCGUAACAAGGUAGCCGUAGGGGAACCUGCGGCUGGAUCACCU